rnacentral:rRNA from 1 species
CCUACGGGGGGCAGCAGUGAGGAAUAUUGGUCAAUGGCCGUAAGGCUGAACCAGCCAAGUCGCGUGAAGGAAGAAGGACCUAUGGUUUGUAAACUUCUUUUAUCGGGGAAUAAAUGUAUCCACGUGUGGAUAUUUGCAUGUACCCUAUGAAUAAGCAUCGGCUAACUCCGUGCCAGCAGCCGCGGUAAUACGGUGGAUGCGAGCGUUAUCCGGAUUUAUUGGGUUUAAAGGGUGCCUAGGUUGUUUUUUAAGUCAGCCGUGAAAGUUUGUGGCCUAACCAGAAAAUUGCCGUUGAAACUGGAAAGAUUGCGUGUUGUAGAGGGAGGCGGAA